rnacentral:rRNA from 1 species
AUACGGAGGGUGCGAGCGUUAAUCGGAAUUACUGGGCGUAAAGCGUGCGUAGGCGGUUUGGCAAGUCAGGUGUGAAAGCCCUCGGCUCAACCGAGGAACUGCACUUGAAACUGCCAGACUGGAGUUCGGGAGAGGGUAGCGGAAUUCCGGGUGUAGGGGUGAAAUCCGUAGAUAUCCGGAGGAACACCGGUGGCGAAGGCGGCUACCUGGACCGAUACUGACGCUGAGGUACGAAAGCGUGGGGAGCAAACAGGAUUAGAAACCCUAGUAGUCC